AACGGUCGUUUGGCAAGGCCAGUAGCCUACUUGUUCAACCAAACCUCGGGGCGUUUCGCACCGAACGAACAGGCGGGUUGCAAACCGUAAUAUCCCAACGCUCGGGAAUCCUCGCGCUUCAGCGCGGGGAGGAUGUCAACUCCGUCC
rnacentral:misc_RNA from 1 species